AGUGCCACUUGUAACAUACAACUGAAGCGUCCUCUGCUGGGACUGGUUCUGACUCCCACCUGAGAGCUGGUUGUCCAGGUCAAACAGCACAUUGAUGCUGUGGCCAGGUUUACAGGAAUCAAAACUGCUAUUUUGGUUAGUGGAAUGUUGAUGCAGAAACAGCAGAGGAUGUUCAGUCGCUGUCCUGAGAUUGUGGUUGCCACUCCCAGCCGGCUGUGGGAGCUUGUGAAAGAAAAGCACCCUCAUUUGAGCAGCCUUCGGCAGCUCAGAUGCCUGGUGGUGGAUGAGGCUGACCGCAUGGUUGAGAAGGGCCAUUUUGCCGAGCUCUCGCAGCUGCUGGAGAUGCUGAAUGACUCCCAGUACAACUCAAAGAGACAAACGCUUGUUUUUUCUGCCACCCUGGCCCUGACACAUCAAGCUCCUGCUUGAACCCUUCAUAAGAAGCACAUCAAGAAGAUGGACAAGACAGCCAGGCUUGAUCUCCUCAUGCAAAGGAUCGGCAUGAGAGGCAAGCCCAAGGUCACUGACCUCACAAGGCAUGAGGCCACGGUUGAGUCGCUGACAGAGACUAAGAU